CAUUGAUUAAUUUCACAACCAUCAACAUCAUCUCCCAUGUGCACCAUGGUAGUUUCCAUUUAACUUGUACUGCUUGGCUUCUUGAUUUUGUGACAUUGAGCAGUCCCCUCUCUCUCUCUCUCUCUCUCUCAUAGGCAUGCGCAUGCAUAUGCUCCUUGGUUGUAUGCAUGUGCAUGUUAGCAAAGCCGUGGAGACCAGACAAC
rnacentral:lncRNA from 1 species